AUUGAACGCUGGCGGCAGGCCUAACACAUGCAAGUCGAGCGGAAACGAUGGAAGCUUGCUUCCAGGCGUCGAGCGGCGGACGGGUGAGUAAUGCAUGGGAAUCUGCCCGAUAGUGGGGGAUAACCUGGGGAAACCCAGGCUAAUACCGCAUACGUCCUACGGGAGAAAGCAGGGGAUCUUCGGACCUUGCGCUAUCGGAUGAGCCCAUGUCGGAUUAGCUUGUUGGUGAGGUAAUGGCUCACCAAGGCGACGAUCCGUAGCUGGUCUGAGAGGAUGAUCAGCCACAUCGGGACUGAGACACGGCCCGAACUCCUACGGGAGGCAGCAGUGGGGAAUAUUGGACAAUGGGCGAAAGCCUGAUCCAGCCAUGCCGCGUGUGUGAAGAAGGCCCUCGGGUUGUAAAGCACUUUCAGUGGGGGAGAAAGCCUUGGGAUUAAUACUCCCGAGGAAGGACAUCACCCACAGAAGAAGCACCGGCUAACUCCGUGCCAGCAGCCGCGGUAAUACGGAGGGUGCGAGCGUUAAUCGGAAUUACUGGGCGUAAAGCGCGCGUAGGCGGUCUGAUAAGCCGGUUGUGAAAGCCCCGGGCUCAACCUGGGAACGGCAUCCGGAACUGUCAGGCUAGAGUGCAGGAGAGGAAGGUAGAAUUCCCGGUGUAGCGGUGAAAUGCGUAGAGAUCGGGAGGAAUACCAGUGGCGAAGGCGGCCUUCUGGACUGACACUGACGCUGAGGUGCGAAAGCGUGGGUAGCAAACA
rnacentral:rRNA from 1 species